AGUUACUUGACGUAGACCCGAAACCGGGCGACCUACCCAUGAGCAGGAUGAAGCGAAAGUAAAAUUUCGUGGAGGUCCGAACCCACGAGCGUUGAAAAGCUCGGGGAUGACUUGUGGGUAGCGGUGAAAUUCCAAUCGAGCCCGGAGAUAGCUGGUUCUCCCCGAAAUAGCUUUAGGGCUAGCCUCAAGGUGAGAGAUACGGAGGUAGAGCACUGAAUGUCCUAGGGGGUAUUGCACCUACCGAAGACUAUCAAACUCCGAAUGCCGUCAUCUUAUACUUGGGAGUCAGACUGUGGGUGAUAAGAUUCAUAGUCGAAAGGGCAACAGCCCAGAUCGUCAGCUAAGGUCCCUAAAUGUAAGUUAAGUGGUAAAGGAUGUGGGAUUGCACAGACAACCAGGAUGUUGGCUUAGAAGCAGCCACUCAUUCAAAGAGUGCGUAAUAGCUCACUGGUCGAGUGAUCCUGCGCCGAAGAUUUCCGGGGCUAAAACUUACUACCGAAGCUACGGCAUCAGUAAUGAUGGGUAGGGGAGCUUCCCAUACGGGUUGAAGCAUGACCGUAAGGACAUGUGGACAGUAUGGGAG
rnacentral:rRNA from 1 species